GGCUGUCUGGCCCAAUGGUUAAGGCGCUUGCCUACGAUCUACUCAUCAUUUGAGUCAGGUUCAAGCAAGAGACUCCAGGUUCGAGUCCUGGGAUGGUCG